rnacentral:rRNA from 1 species
GAUCCUGGCUCAGAUUGAACGCUGGCGGCAGGCCUAACACAUGCAAGUCGGAACGGUAACAGGAAGCAGCUUGCUGCUUUCGCUGACGAGUGGCGGACGGGUGAGUAAUGUCUGGGAAACUGCCUGAUGGAGGGGGAUAACUACUGGAAACGGUAGCUAAUACCGCAUAACGUCGCAAGACCAAAGAGGGGGGACCUUCGGGCCGUCUUGCCAUCGGAUGUGCCAGAUGGGAUUACGCUAGG